rnacentral:hammerhead_ribozyme from 1 species
AUCCAACUGACGAGUCUCAAAUAGGAUGAAAUACGCAUUUUGGAU